rnacentral:sRNA from 1 species
GCCAGGCGUGGUGGGGCAUGCCUGUAAUCCCAGUGGCUCAGGAGGCUGAGAUAGGAGAAUCGUGAGUUCAAAGCCAGCCUCAGCAACAGUGAGGCUCACGGUGAGAUCUUGUCUCUA